AGCUAUUGAGCUUAUAUAUAGAGGCACAUAUUUAUGUAAUCUUUAUCCAAAUAGUGAAGAUGUAGCUAUUGAGCUUUGGAUCCGUAGACGUAAGGCUUCGGCUUGAACACGUAAAUCUUAUAUUAUCUCUCUUCGCUCUUCUUCUCUCUCGAUUAUCUUGUGUUAUCUCUCUUCUCUCUUCUUCUAUCUCCAUAUAUACUCCCACUAAAUUUUAACAGAUCCAAAUACUGGACAACGGGGUUUUUAUUUUUGUACUCAUCCGGCAUUGAUAGGAGGCUUCCAUUUAAAGUUUGGUGCGUUGUUGUCCGGUGUUCGAAAUACCAGACAACUAUUUUUGUACUCAUCCGGCAUUGAUAGGAGGCUUCCAUUUAAAGUUUGGCGCGUUGUUGUCCGGUGUUCGAAAUACCAGACAAUUAUUUGGGAUUUUUUACUUCAU
rnacentral:lncRNA from 1 species